UGAAAAGAAAUAUUUAAUAAGUUAAAGAUGAUAUAAUAAAUACUUUAAAAUAAGAUGAAAAUGAAAAGUAAACUUUACGAAAACAUUUUUUUUUUCAACACAAUAUAAUAUAUAUCAUACAACAGAACAUUACAUGACCAUGACCAACCAUCCAUAGGAACUAUUGAAUGGCUUUAUUCAUACAAGCAAAAGUUCUAAAGUUGCAAGAUUUUUAGGGUUUUGCCACUUAUAUUACAAAGGAUUACAUUAAUAAUACAUAAUUAAGCACUAAUUAAUUAGUUCUGAGGCUCAGAUUCAGUGGCUAUUCCCAAGGCCAUAUAUUCCUCAUAGGUGCAGCAAUGGUGAUAUUUGCAUUUAUGGUAACAUCCUUUAUGUUUAUAUCCUCCACCCUUAUAAUAAUGGUCACCUCCAACACCAUCAACGUCUACUUCCUUCGCUGCUGCAUCGAUGAAUUGAGAAUAUUAAAACUUAUGCAUAUCUAUUGAUGACUGAUCUUUGAAUUGAAAUUUCUAUUUAUGUGUUGUACUUUUCAUUUAAUUUUGUUAUAGUUUUAAGAUAAUUUCUAUCAUGACUAUAUAUAUAUGUAAAUAAAUUUUUUGUUUCAAUCUGAUAUGUUUAAGAUCACAAGAUUCAAAGGAUAUUUUAGUAUGUUCUACACACUUUUAGUUUAGUUUGGAUUGAAAAGUUUAUGCUAUAUUCUUCAAAUUCAUGCAUAGUGACUGAGACAUAUAAAAUGAAGCAUAAGGAAGGUAAAUUAAGUGUCAUGAUCAAGCUAGUGUUAGUAAAACAUUAGGUUAUCAUCUAACAUUCAUAAAACCUUACAAAUUUUAGUUCAUGGUCUAAUUUUAUAUGCUGGACGUAUCUUUACUAUGUCACUUUUUUUAUUUAAAUUCAAUUACCCAGAUAUUCGAGGCAAAGAGCGAUGAAAACACAAAGUAAUGCGUAAAGAUAUGCUAAUAUAACACAGUAACAUCAAUUGUUUCUUGUUUUUUUUUUUUUUUCAAUGAAUUCAACUACAUAAAGAGAAAAUGAAAGAUGAUACUUACAGUUGGGAGUCUCAGAUUCAGUGGCUUUUCCCAUGGCCACAUAUUCUUCAUAGGUGCAGCAUUUAUGAUAUUUGCAUUUAUGGUAACAUCCUUUAUGAUAGCCACCCUUUUUAUAGCCACCUUUGCCACCAUAGUAAUGGUCAAGAUCUACUUCUUUCUCCGCUGCAUCGAUGAAUUGAGAAUAGUAAAUCUAAUGCAUAUGCACUGACUGAUCGUUGAAGUGAAAUUUCUCUUAUUAUAAAUUAUGGCUGUCAAGUGGGCCGGGCCAACCUGGCCCUACUCGGCCCACUUAAAUAAAUCAGCCCAGUAAGCCCUAUGGCUUUAGGGUUUCAGGUCCCGGGCCGGUUAUUUUUUUAAUUUGGGCCUGGUUAACCCGACUCGGACCUAGCUCGGUCCAGGCCCGUCGGUUAACCGACCCCGCCCAGCCCGGAGUCUUUUUAUUUUUUUAAAUAAUUAUUUUUUUGUAUAAAUUAGUAUAUAACUAUACAAAUAUAUAUUCUAAUGUGUGUGUGUGUAUAUAUAUAUAUAUAUUAUAAUAUAUUUCAUUUAAUGUAUUACAUAUACAUAGAGUAGAGUGUAUAUAUGUGAAUAGAUCUUCUAUAGAAGUGUAUAUUUAACGUAUACAUGUUUAUAUAUUUUAUAAAUUAGUGUAUAACUAUACAAAUAUAUAUUGUAAUGUAUAUAUAUUGUAGUAUAUCUCAUUUAAAGUAUUACAUAUACAUAGAAUAGAGUGUAUAUAUGUGAAUAGAUCUUCUAUAGACGUAUAUAUUUAACGUAUACAUGUGUAUAUAUAUAUAAUUAUAUAUGUAUAUAUUGUAGUAUAUUUUAUUUAAACUUUAAAGUUUAAAGUAGUACAUAUAUAUUUGGAUGGUGCGUAUAUAUGUGUAAUUGUGUAUAUGUGUAUAUAUUUUUUAAAUUUUAAUGUAGUAUAUACUAUAUAUAUAGUGUAUAUAUAUUGUUUAACGUAUUUGUAAUGUAUAUAGGUGGGUAUAUAUAAUGUAUAUUGAAAUUUUUUUAUUUUUGACCGGGUUUGAUCGAUUUUUUAAUCGGGUUUGACAGGGUUUAGGUGGGUUUGACCGGGUUGGGUUAAGUGGGUCCGGUUAGGGUGGUUUUUGAUUUUUUUACUGUUGGGCCCAGCCCAGACUGGCCCACUUAGACCCCAACCCGGAACGGCCCUCAACCCGGUUAAAUAACAUGGGCCGGUUCCGGGUUGGCCUGACCCGGCCCACUUGACAGCCAUACUAUAAAUAUAUUCAUAUAAAUUUUUAGUUUCAAUCUGGCAUGUUUAAGUUCACAUGAUUCAAAGGAUAUUUUAGCACGUUUUACACACUUUUAGUUUAUAUUCUUCAAAUUCAUGCAUAGUGACUGAGACGUAUAAAAUGAAGCAUAAGGAAGGUAAACUAAAUGUCAUGAUCAAGCUAGUGUUAGUAAAACAUUAGGUUAUCGUCUAACGUUCAUAAAAUCUUACAAAUUUUAGUUCAUGGUCUAAUUUUAUAUGCUGGGCGUAUUUUUAAUAUGUCACUUUUUUUUUUUAUUUAAAGUCAAUUACCCACAGAUUCUAGAGAAAAAGCAAUAAAAAUGCAUAAAGUAAAGCAUAAAGACAUGCUAAUACGCCUAACAUAGUAAAAUAAGUAAUGCCUAAAGAUAUGCUAAUAUGCCUUUCUUUUUUUUUUUUUCUUCGAAUGAAUUCAAUUACAUAAAAAGAUAAAUGAAAGAUAAUACUUACAGUUGGGAGUCUCACUCAACUCCCUAGCUAUUACUUCGGAGCUUAUCAUUAAGAAAAUAGCCAAAAAUAGGCCAAGCAAUAGAAAUGUUUUGGAACCCAUUCUUUUGUUUUUUUCAAAGCUUAGUACUUAUGAUAAUUGAAAAUUGAGGGAUGAAGAAACUGAUACAUUCUUGGGCUCUAUUUAUAGGAAGAUUUAUAUGCAUAAAUAAUUGAAGAGAGGUGUAAAACUAGGAGGUGGGAGGGACAUGUAUUGGGAUGCAAUUAUUGUUGUGGACCAAAGAAACUUAACAACUUGGGUCUACAAGUGAGAGUUAAAGUCUUAAAGAGAAUGCUAGAUUUAACUUAUUCCGUAAUUUUUAAAUAACAGCACUAACAAGUUUAGUUAUUAUGGUAGUGAAGUUGUAACAAUACUAUUUUAAUGAAAUAUUUAAGUUUAUGCUUUGCAUGUGAAGCCUCAUUUGUUAGGCAUUGUUUUAUUCUAUGAAACUUUUUGGCCUGCAUCAAAUUUAAUUUAAAUCUAAUACCAAUAUAUUAUACGCGAAAACUAGACAUCGAGUGGAAAAUAAAAUAAAAUGAAAAAGCAAGUCAUCCAAGCAAAAUGUAGAUGUUGCAAGUAUUUACAAUGUUCCAACAACAAAAAAAAUGAACCUAACGAAUAUUUUGCUGAAUAUUUUGGCAAUUGGAAUGUUGUUCGAUCUCGUGACAGAUUCAGAAUUAUGCCGAAUCCUUUUAUAGCCAAGUAUAUAUUAUGACUUAAUAAAAGUGCAUUUUGUAUGAAGAAAGAUGUUUUUCCAUGAAAUACAUUUUCUUAGAAAAUGUUUGCUUGAAAUAUAAGUGAUUUAUUUUAGGUUAGUUUUUGAUAAAUAAGUGAAGAAUGUUAUAAUCUCAAAAAUAUUUAAAUUUAAUUUCACGAUAAAAUGGGUUGGAGAAUGGGGGCGGAAGGGCUAAAAUACUCAAAAGAUAAAGGGUUGUGGAUGUUGGAAAUCUUCCUUUUGAAAUAAUCGAUCAGUUUUUUUUUUUUCAUUUUCCUAAAUUUCUUAUCUUGUUUUAAAUUAUAUUUUUCGUUCAUUUUUAUUUGUUAAUUGUUAUAGUUCAUUUUAUGAAAGUCAAUCAAAUGAAUUUCAAAGUUAAAUUAAAGUAGAUUAAUUUAUUAUUUUAAAUUAAAUUUAGAUAUUUAAAAAUUAUAUAAAAAUAUAAGUUACUAUAUAAUCCUUCUCAUUAGUAUUAUAUAUAAGAGACAAAUCAAGGAAUUUGGUAGUUCCCACAAAAAUUUUCAAUUAAAUUUCAAUCUUUUCAAUUAAUUACUUUUUUGUCAUGAUCUUAUCUUUGAAAUCAAAUUUACUUUUUGUCUUUAGAGUUUACUUUUAGAAGUUCUUUUACCUGAUCAUUUUGAACGUGUUUUUUAUUUUUCAAUUCUUUAUUUUCUGAAUUUAUAGACAUUCAUUGACAUGAAUUACUAUUCAGAAGCCAUGUUUAAUUCUUUAUGCAUAAAGUGGAUCAUCAUUUUUCUUUUAGAAAAAACCUGACUUAGUAAACAUAAACACCUAAUUAAUUUAUUCAGACUAAGUUUUAAUUAAUUAUAAUUCAUAGUCUAAUUUAACUGUACUGCAUCCUCUCCCUUGCUAAUACUCUCCUUCCAUCUCUCCCAAUCUCGUUGUAUAUCACUAUAUUUGUAUCAAUUAUAUUCGUUUCUUAUAAUCAGCUACAUAUGAUUGUAUUUUUAUAUUUUCUUGAAUUUAUAUUUAUAUGGUCCUAUAUUAUAUAUAGUUUAAUCACAACAUUUGUAUAUAAUAAAAUCAAAGUAUCAGAUUUUUGUUCAUUUUAUAUUUGCUAAUACAAAUACGAUGGAUGACAGUUUAUAUAAAUACAAUAGCUACACCGGCUACGACUUGUAAUUUUUUAAACCAUAGUUAUGCAUGCCUAAUUUUUCCUAUAUAUAUGCUGUUUUGAAAGUUUUCCUUUUUAAAAAAAAUAAAUUCUAUACGAACUUUUGUGAUUGAUUUAUAUAAUAACUGUUUAUGAAUCUCUUUAUACUCUUUAUUGAAUUAUUUUUUAAUUCUUCAUCUCAAAAUAUUUAAUAUUAUUUUUCACUUUUUGAGGAUCAACUUACAUAAAUUUUUAUCAAUAUUUUGAAAUUAUUUUCACUAUAUUAAUGGGAGAAUUGAUAUUUAUAAUACUUUUCAUAUAAUUUUUUAAUAUUUAAAUUUUAAUUUAAAAUAUUAUUUAAUCUAACUCAAUUUAACUUUAAAGAUUAUGCAAAUAUCUUUCAAAAAAACAUGCGGUGAGAUGAAAAAAGUAUAUUAUUUAAUCUUCAUCGAGUUGUAAAUAUUUUACAUGCUUCAAAGUUUAAAUCAUAUUAUUUUAUAAAAUAUUAAAUUACUUGUAUGUCGUUUUAGGAUAAUCCUUUCCCAUUGUUGAACUACCACAUGAAAAAAACUCAUCAAAUUAAGAAGAGUAUAUUAAGAAUCCAUUUACAAUUAAUCUUUUACCCCAAAAGCCAUAUGUUUCCUCAACUAUUAUAUAUACUUCCCCAAGGAAUUUUUCGCAAACAAUACUCCUAACUCACACCCCAAAAGCUAGCUCAUGAAAAAGAGGAUUGCUCAGCUCAAACCUAAUAAGGAGAGCAAGGACCUAUAAUCCCACCGAUGUGGGAUACCAACACACCCUCGGCACGCCCAAGAUUGGACAACUGGAAAAUAGACAAUAUAAAAUGGAGGGUCCAACAUUGGAAACAAAUGAAUUGGGUGGGCCUGGCUCUAAUACCAUGUUAAAAUUAGUCUUGAACCAAACUCACACCCUAAAAGCUAACUCAUGAGGAGAAGAAUUGCCUAUGCCUUAUAAGGUGGCCAAGAACGUUAUAACCCGCCGAUGUGGGACACCACCAAUAAUAAAUAUGUUGAUGUUGUUGUUAGUAGGUUUAAGUAUACUUAAGAGGGAGAGUGUAAAUCAUGAUCAAUUUUUUUUAUUAGAAAGAUCUCAUUACUUAUUUUAAGUGUCAUUAGCGUAAGGGGGAUUAAUUAAUUAAUAUGGUUUAAUUACGUCUCGACUUGUAAAACAAGAAAAAGACUUGUAUGAAACUGAAAAUUUUAAAUAUAUGUGUACAUGAAUUUCUUGUGUCAAAUAAAAUGUAUACUCCCUACGUCCCAAAUUAGCAGCUCCAAAUUGAGAUGACACAUUGAUUAAGAAAAAUAAUUAAUAAAAUGGCUAGUUUACUAUAAUACCCCUAUUAAAUGAUAUUUACAUUUUAAUUUGAAAAAAAAUAAUUACUGCAAAAGGUAAAAUAAGAAAAAAAUUUCUGUUAUUUCUUGAUUAAUGAAAAAAAAAGUAAAAUGAGAAAUUAAAUUAGAAAAUUUGAGACGGAGAAAGUAUUUUAUAUGCAUGAAUUUGUAGUGAGAGGCGCAUUUCUUCUACUAGUAUUAAUAUAAAAACAAAUACUCCUCCUGUUUCAUAUUAUUUGGCUCCUAUGAAUUUGACCCUCUCAUUAAGAAAAUAUUAAUUAAGAGGUUUAUUUUAUCAAAUUAGCUUUACUAAUUAUAUUUUGAAAAUAUAAAUUUGAGUAAAUACACUUUAUUUAGUCAUUUAAUGUUAAGGGUAGUAUUGGAAGAACAUAAUAAAAUUCUUUUGAUUUCAUCAAAGAAACAACUAAAUUAAAAUAAAUAUUUUUUAAAAAAAGGCCAACUAAAAUGAAACGGAAAAAUUAAUAGUAGGAUAUCUUAAAUUAUUAAUCAAACUUUAUUUAAUCCGUAAUCAAACACCGUCAAAAUAGAUUUCAAACCACGUGCAUGGGUUGGUGGCCCAGAAAUUAAUGCAUGUAGAAAAUGUCAAACGGUCACUUAUCAGUUUACUUAUCCAAGACUCUUCCAACUUGCCCUGCUGCCACGCAAAAGAAAAAAAUCAUUAAAAAUAUUAUCCUUCUUACCAAACAGAAAUUGUGGGGAUAUUGAGAAAAAAUGAGUUUUCUAAUAAAAAUAGAAAAUAGAUUGUAUAAAUAGAUUUUCAUAGUACAUAGCUUCUUUUAGUGGCGGAUCCAUGAAAAUCACACUUCAAACCAUUGCAUCUAAUCAUGUGUUUGUUCAUUAGGUGUAUUUUAAUAUUUUAUAUCAUUUAUUCUAUAUUUUUUAUAUAAUUACAUCUAAUCUACGUCUAGUUUAGUGAGCAUUGAAGUAUUCGAAAAAUACACAUGGAUCCGCCCCUGACUUCUUUUCACCUUUUGACAGACCUCAUCUUCACUCUCCGAACUUAACUCCAACCCCCCGCCACCCCCUUUCUCACCAAUCCAUACACUUACCGCACCCACUCCCUCAUCUCACUUAUGGACGAAGCCACCUUAGACAAAGAACAGUUUGGUACACACUAUAUAUUCAUCAAAAAUUUAUUAUGUUCAUAUUCUAAUGAGGUUAAAUGUUAAUUAUUAUGAAUGUACAAUUAAAAAAAACUUUAUAUACUCUUCAUCAAUAUAAUAUUUUCAAUUAUAUAUUGAGUUAAAAAAAAUAAGUGUGCGUAUAUUUCUUUCGGAUCCAAUACACCCAAUAUCAUAUACAAUCAAUGUUGAUAUAUAAUUAGAUAUGAAAAAAAAUACAAGUAGCAUAUUUAAGUAUUAAAUUAUAAAAAAUAGUAAUACUUUUAUUAAAUUAUAUUUUGUAGCAUAUUUAUUUAUAUUUUUGUAGCAAUAAUUUGCAAAAAUACAAAAUAUAUAUCGAUUAUAAGGGCAGUAAAAAUCACAUAUAUUUGUAUUUUUGUAGCAACAGUUUGCAAAAAUAUAAAAUACAACUUGAUAUAUUAUGUAAUUAUGAAACUAUUGCUAUGAAACUCAAAAUUAAGGGGAUAAGUAUGCUAUUUCUGAAUUUUUCCCAUUAGAUAUUGUACAUAUACUAAUAAGAAGGACAUGAACUAGCCAUUUUAAAAAAAAAUGGCCCAUGGUUUAAAAAUGUGGACAAUUGCAGCUGGUCGGUCCAAUUUAAUUUUCUUUUUUAGUCAUUUGGCCCAAUUGGGCACAUGCAGUCUCUAUACUCAAUUGAUACACUUUUAUACCACAUUGAGAUACUUUUAUACUAUAUUGAUACACUUUUUUAAAAAGAGAAAGGAAAUUCUAUGCAAGCACCUGCAGUCCCUAUACCCAAUUGAUACUCUUUUAUACCACAUUAAUAUACUUUUAUACUAAAUUGAUACACUUGCAGUGUCCAUAUACUCAAAUUGAUACUCUCUUAUACUAGAUUGAUACAUUUUUAGAAUGCAUGUCGAAACUAUCUAGAGAGAGUCGUAUAAAAUAUGUAUCUAAAUAAUAACUGUAGUUAAAAAUUGUAUAGAAUGUGUAUAAAAAUGCUAUAAUUAAUGUAUAGAAUAUGUAUAUAUAUAGAAACUGUAUCAUUAUUAUAUAUAAAUAUAUAUCUUUAACAAUUGUAUUAUAUUAAAAGUAUAUGGUAUUGUAUUUUAUUGUAUAAAUAAGUAAAACUAAACAAAACAAAUAGUAUAUUAUUUUAAUAAUGUUGGUGAAUGCAAACUAAUAUAAAAAAAAUUGUUUAAAAAGAAUAAAAAAGAGUAGAAUAAGAAAAGGAGCCAAAAAAAGCAUCAACAAAAAUUUUAAAAAAAGAAAAGAAAAGAAAAAGGAAGGUAAGAACUUGACCUAGAAAAAUUAAACCAGUGAAUAUCUAAACAUUGUCCACCAAAAGAAGGUUAGAAAUUGGGGUAUCUAUUUCUAAACCAUUCGGUUGGAAUUACUUUCCACCGAGUGGUUAUUUAUCGGAUUUUAAAAUUUAGGUGUUAAUUUUAUGAAAUUAUUUUAGUUUUAGGUGUUAUUUUUGUCCUUUUUCUUCUUUUUUUUAAAGAAAAAUUAGCCCAACUAAAAUUUACAUAUAUACACUAAAUAAAAUUGCUUUAUUACAUAAUAUACCAAUUUGGUAAAGUAUUUACACAUAUCCCAAAAUAUUUACAUAAAUUCCUUUAUUUUCAACUUUCUCUUUCUUAAACAUUAUACAUCUCUCAACAGAUUUUCUCUUCCGUAUUUUACUCCUCCAUAUCCUCCCACAACACCCGAUUUUUACUCCAUAAUUGAACCCCCUUAUUCUCGGCAAAAUUGAAGAAUCGUGUAUCUAGGGGUUUCAACUAGUAAGUUAGAAGAUUUUUCUUUUCUUUUUUUAACUUUUUCAAUUUUUGAAGUUGAUCGUAUAUUGGGAUUGUUGCAUGUUUGUUUUACCUUACUUUGCAAGUAUUUUCAAGUUUCGUAGUUCGAUUUUUAUGUUUUCUUCAUAUAAUACUCUUGGUUUGUAGCUUUUUUUUUUUUUUUUUAAAUUUACCUAUUUUUGUAUUUUUCAAUUUAUUUUAUGAAUGUAUGUUUGUUUAUAAGGAUUUACCACAUUUUUGCAAGUAUUUUUAAGUUUUGUAGUUGAUUCGGAUCGAAUGUAUUACUGAAAAAAAUUGGUAAUAGAUUCUUGUCCUAACUUUAGUUUAGGACUUAGUCAGUUAGAUUCUAAAAAACAAGAUAUACCCGUUGGGUUUGUUCCUGGUACAUUUGAUUUAGAAGAACCCAAUUUCACAGAGAAUCGUUCAAAGCAUCGAAACGAUCCGACAACAAUGAAGAGAUUGAAGGAAACGACCACUUCCAUAUCAAAGAAAUCAAGUUCAAAAACGGCCAGUAAGAAGAAGUUUGAUGAUUCCCGUAGACCACGUCUUUCGAAGAUAUUGAUUAAACAUUGUACUUUACUUACGUUGCAACAUUAUUGUCUAAUAUAGUGGAACAUAGAAUUUUGUGCAACACUAAUGUAUAAUAUUACUAAUAUGUUAUACAUUUCAUUUUUUUUAUACAUUGAAUAUUCUUAUUACAUAUUAGAAGCAUUUGGAACUGGGUGUGUUAUUAUACAUUUAUGAAGUCUUCCUUUUGUAUAAGGUUUUAUUAUACAGUCUGACAACAUUGUAUGUCAUAUAUGUUUAAGGUGAAAUGUUUAGUCUGACAUUAUAUAUUGCAUAUAUUUGAUUACUAAUGUAUAAUUUUAUUACAUAAAUUUUAUUAUACAUUGCUUUUCAUACUAUAUUAUACAUAACAAGUAUUGUAUGGUUUAGUUGAUAUUAUACAUUUAGGGAGUUAUACAUUUCAUUUUUUUAUACAUUGGAUGUUCUUAUUACAUAUAAGAAGCAUUUGGAACUGAGUGUGUUAUUAUACAUUUAUGAAGUCUUCCUUUUGUAUAAUGUUUUAUCAUACAUUCUGACAUUUAGGGAGUUUUCAUACUGUAUAAAGUGACAUUAUACAUCUGAAUAGCUGAUAUGUCAUACAUUUUUGUAAGGUGAACUAGUUUAGUACGCAACAGUAUACAUUAUUGCAUCUCAAACAUUUGUAACUUUUUGUGUAAUUAUUGUAUUAUUUUAUUAUUUUAGGGCAUGAAAUACCGUAUAAAUAAAGUCCCGGAGCACCCUUUGCAUAUUUUGAGCUCAUGCAAUCGUGAUUUUGCUGAAGACAUAAAGUCUUAUUUUGGAGAUGAUAUUUUUAGGACAUUUAGAAAUACGUUAUUUGGGAUUUGCUUGACCUUCCGUAGUGCAAUUGGAUUAGGUAGAUUUCAAAAUGUAUCCUUAUGCUAGAAAUCCAAUAAUAUAUUAAGGACGAGAUACAUGUGUGUGUGCAGGGGAAGAUUUUAAAAUUUAUCAUGAAUUUGUCAUUAUCAGCGGCCUGACUGCACCGAUGAUAUUGAUGAGUUUAUGUAUACUUCAUCAUCAAAAUCCCCUUUGAUUUUAAAGUAUUUUUCUAAAUCUGGAGGUGAUAUAACUAGGUCAAAACUGAUAACACGUGUGAAGAUAGGAAAUUUCAAGAACUCUGAAUAUGCUUUGAACUUUGCGAUAUUAUAGUUUGUUCAUACAUUCAUGUUAUCUCAGCAUAAAGAAGCACCAAUUAGUGUAGCUCACUUUCAAAUGAACGAGGAUGGUCGGUACAUACACUUUUCAUGGGGAAAGAUAAUUUUUAAAAAGUUGAUCAACUCAUGGCGGCAAGAGUUUAGAGUCGUAAAGCAGUUAUAUUCUUUGGGUGGAAUGCCCCACGCUCUAAAUGGCUGGAUAUUUGAGUGUUGCUCUUCAGUUGAUAAAAAAAUUGCUUUGCGACAUGAAAACAUCAUCCCAAGAACACUUAACUGGUCUAUGGAGUGUACAAGGUCUAAGUAUAAAUCUUAAGUAAGGUAAUUAUAUAACAUAUUAAAUAUUUUUAUUUUAUACUCAACUUAUCGAAGUUUUAAUAUUUCAUUUUAAAAAUAAUUUUUGCAGUGUUCUUUCAAGAAUUUACAACCUACAAGUGAAGAAGUUCGUACUUUAGAUUUGUCUUUCUCUGAGGAUUUUGUGAUUUUUGAUCCAAUAUCUGCUGCUUCCACUUCUGUUGCUGCAACAAUGCAAACAUCAGGCGAUGAAGAUCAAUCGCGUGUUGUCACUGCAGAUGACGAUUAUGAUGAUUUCCCCACUGGACCUACUCAGGAAUUUCUAUAAAAGGCUCAUUUGGCUACACCUUUAUCAACUAAACAGCCAUCCAAAAGAAGUAAAACAGUUAUGUUUCAGGAAGUUAGUUCAGCUGUGACAAAUGCACAAAAAUCAACAAGUUCUCAUUCAGUACGUCACGUGUCUGGUAUGUUUUCUAAAAUACAAUAACAAUUAAUAGAUAAGCUACAAAUUCGUGUGUCUGAUUUUGAUCAUCGUCAUCAAGUAGAAAUUGGUGUGUCUCCUGAGUGCAAACAAAUCAAGUCUGUUCCUUCAUCUUCCACAACGCCUGAAGGAACUUCUAAGUCUAAUUUAGAUAUGGAGCAGAUAAAGAGUUACAUCAAAAUAUAUGUAAGUUAAUUUUCUCAUUCACAAAUUAUUAUUUUUGAAAAGUAUUACUUGUUUCUAAUAUCUUAUUGUUUAUCUGUACGUUAUAAGGUUGAUAAGCAAAUUGCUGAGCUGAAAACACUAAUCUCCAAUAUACCUGCUGAGGUCGUUAAAGCAUUGAAGAAAGAAGAGAAUAAAGAAUCUCCGGUAUAAAAUAAUUUUCCUUCAAAUUUUUAAUACUUUGAAUAAAUACUCAUACAUUAGAAUUAUUCAUGAUAUAUAGGAGGAGAAAAUUGUUCAUCAACGAGAAGGUGUACAGGGAGGCUAAAAAAUAAAUGACAGUAUUAAUAAGAAUGAGUUGCGGGCAAUUUUAAUCUACAUUACAUUGUCAUGUUACUAUUAAUCUGUAUAACUCCAACAUCUUAACCUUUUUUUGUUUGGUUCUUAUACAGCAUGAAGAUGAGUACACCAGACCAGUCAUUCACAUAACAAAUGAUGAACCAUCAGUAAUUGAAACUUUGGAAACAGAUCCAAGAUUGUGUCCACAUUCAUACUGAAUGUCCAACAAUAACUGAGGUUCAAUUCAAACAGAAAGUAUAUAUAUGAUAUGUAUAAAUAUGGUUAUACAUUCACAACCAUGCAUAAUAGUUAUCAAAUUAUAAAAAAAAUAUUUUCAUUCAUCAAUAUAUAAAUUGAAUUAAAUGUAUAGACAUCCUAUUGUCAAUUUUUUGUAGGAUGAGCACAUGAAUGAUAAAGAAGAGGGACAUGAAGAAGAAUCGCAAAACACUCACAGUAAUAAUAUGAAAGAUAUAUCGAUACAUUUUUGUCUCUCAUGUUGGUUUGUUCUUAGAUGAGAUGAAUCUCAAUAUUUUAAAACGCUUUACUUGUAGGCUGUUACAGUAUUAUUAUGCAUACAUUUGAAUGUAUAAUGAUAUGUUAUACAUUAUUAAUACUGAUAGUCUAUUUGAGAAAAUGAAUGUUCUUUAUGAAUAUCCUCAUACAUAUCUAUGUUACUUACAAUUAUUUAUGUAUGAACAUUGCUCAAUAACAACUCAAACAAAGUGUGAAUACAUUCAUACGCACUCCUUACAGACACCAUCUGCAAAUCAGUAUUAUAAUAUUUUUCCCUUUCCAACUAGUGGUUACUUUGAUUAAAUGUUCAUACCUUCUAAUUAUCACUUAAUUUAGGUUGACCUUAUCCCUGAUAAAGAGCAAGCUGGUCUUGAAGAUUUGGUGAAAGAACAUGGUCCUGUGAUGGUAUCUUUGUUGUUAUUUUUUCAAAACUCUUGCUGGUUUAAUUUACAUCGUAAUACUAUCUUAUUUUGAGACUAUUUUAGUUUCAUUAUACAUUCAUUUGAAUGUAUAACAUUAUGUUAUAAAUAAAAUCAGCACAUCACAAAUACAUAUGCAUUUGUUAUACAUUUCAAUUUCGAAUCAUCAGUAUAUAUUUUUUUAAUUAAACUACGUAUCACUUUGAAUAAGCUUUCAUACAUAAUAAUUGUUAAUGAAUGUAGGAUGAGCAUAAUGCUGCAGAAGAAGCAGGUUGUAUUGAAGAAUUGAAUAUACAACAUAGCCCUGAUAUGAAAUAUUUAGAGGUACUUUUUUGGUUGUUCAUAUUAUUUUUUAACUCAAAACUUACAUGCUUAUACAUUCACACCCAUGCCUAAUACAUAUCAAAUUAUAUAAAAAACUUUUCAUUCACAAUUUUAUGACUUUUCAAAUCACCAUUACAAUUUUUUUUCACUGAACUAUGUCUUACUUUGAAUAAAUGUUCCGACAUUCUACUUAACUCUUAAUUUAGGAUGAGCUUAUGCUCGAUAAAGAGGAAACUAGUGUCGAAGAUUUGGGAAAAGAGCACAGUCAUGUGAUGAUACAUUUCUUGUUAUUUUCUGUUUUACUCCUGCUGAUUUAACACUUCAAAUCUAAAUGCAUAGACUUACGACACAUUACUAUUAAAAAAGGAUCAUAAUAUUCCUAUAUGCAUAUCUAAAAUUUUCAAUUUUCAUUCUACAAUGAUUUAUUUUUGUUUUGUUACUUCGUAUUAUGUACUUCUAUUAUUGGUCUUUAUUAAUUAUAGCUCAUAAUGAAUAUUUAACAGUAUAUGAACUGAUUCUACCUAAGUAUAGUGGAUUAUGUAUAAUGUACAUUGCAAUACUAUCCUAAUUUGGGAAUGUUCCAGCUUCAUUAUACUUUCAUUUAAAUGUAUAACAGUAUGCUAUACAAUCAUACAGAGUAUUAUACAUUCAUAUUCAAUUUUUACAUAUACAGAUUUCAAAUCACCUUAACAUAUUUAUUUUCUUACAUAAUGAUUUUAUUUAAAAUAGUAUGAUCAUAUUGUCGCAAAAGAAUCACGUUGUGCUGAAGAAUUGAACAAACAUCAUAGUACUAAUGUGAAGGGUUUGUAAAUAUUUUUUUGAUAGUUCAUAUGUUGUUUUUUAACUCAAAAACUAUCUACAUAAAUGUAGCUUCUGUUUAGGUAUAAUUAACGUCAUACAUUAAUAUGUUUGCUUUUACACAUAACACAUCAAUAUUUUUUCUGUAGGAUGAUGUCAAUGCCACAAUAAUGGAGUCUGUUCAAGAUGCUUUAGAUGUACUAUUAUUUGAGUUGUCAAUACCAUCAAAUACAAAUAAAUUCAAUGUUGUUACACCAAAUAUAGUGACAAAAAAUGACCACUUUCAGAUAGUCAGUUUCCACCUGAUUUUUCGGAUGCUCAAGUAAGGGAGCUUAAAGCACCAAAACACGUGAAGUCAAAAAAUCACCUGUAAAAAGAGAUCGAAAAAAGUCGAAGAUUUUUAGGUCACCAUACAUCAUAAAAUUUGGAUCGAGCUCUAAAGAUAAGGGCAGUUCUGCUAAUGAAGAGAAGCAAAUGUAUGCUUUUGAUAGUUGUACCAUUUACGAAGAUUUGUCUAAUCAAUUGAUUAGUGAUUAUUCAUAGUGACUUGAAAUUGGGUUACUCAAAUAUCAUGUUUCCAAGUAAGUUAUUUAGAUAGAUUUCUAAAUUAUUAAAAAUAGUACAGAAGAAUAAAUCUUGGAGAAGUCUAAUCCUUGAUUAUGUUACAGGAAACAAACAGACAAUCACUAUCUAAAAAAUGCUCCAGGAUUAGGUUAUUCUUUAUUGGACUUUGUUGUUGCACAAGCACUCUCAAAGAAUUGGUUCUACUUGAUUUCGCAACACGUGUUGGAAUGAUGAGGUAAAUUAAACUAAACUAUAUCAUGCUUCUUUAAACUUUUACUAAAAAUGUACUCAUUAUUACGAAAUAAAUAGAAUCUAAUAUAUGAUUACAUAUCAUACAUGUGGUCUCAUGUAUAACCACAUUUUAAACAUGUCAUGGUAACAGAUCAUACAUUCAUUAUCUUUGUUGAAAACAUAAUAAUAACUAUAACAUAUGACUUUGUUUUAUGAUUACAUAUUAUACAUGUGGUAUGAUAUAUAAUCACAUUUUAUACAUGUUAUGUUAACAGAUCAUAUACUCAUGUUCAUGACCAAUACAUAAUAAUAACUAAAAUAUAUGCCUUAGAAUCAGUUGUAUGGUUAAAUAUCAUACAUGUUGUGUGAUUUAUAAUCACAUCAUAUAAAUGUAAUGAUACUAGAUCACUAAUUCAAGUUCUUAAGCAAUACAUACUAAUAACUAAACAUAUGCAUUUUUAUUUCAGUGUUUAACAUAAUCUUACCCUUUUUAACAUGUAGCACUUAGAUGUGAUAUUCUACCAUUUGACAAAAAAAUCAAAGUUGCAACAGUGUGAUACAUAUAGAUAUACGAAAAUCAGCUGCUUCUUCAAAACAUAUAUUGAAAAGACAUACGAACGAUAUUUUCCAACAGUUAAAGCAGAGCAGAUAUCCACGCAAGAAAACUACGUAAAAUUCGUUGCUUGUUCUUCAAAUGAAAUUGAUAUAACAAAUAUAAUUAAUGGAUUCUGUAAUCCUGCGAAUUUACCAUGGCAUUUGGUUGAUGAGGUAUAUGUUCCUGUUAACUGUGAAAAAGAAUAUCACUGGGUAUUGACUGUAAUUGUGUUAAAGAAAAGAACGGUACGUGUGUAUGAUUCAUCGUCAAGCAAAAGAAAAAAUGAACCACCAAUCGAAAUACGAAAUUAGCAGCCAUGCUGCGUACUUACUUGUCGGACAGUGAUGUUUUUCAAAAGACUGAAAGAAUUGACUGGUCAACACUUAAAGCGUACGAAGGGAAGCUUGGUCUGCAAACUGGAGAGAUAAGUCACAACCCAUUUGAUAUUGAAUACGCCAAAAACAUUCCACAACAAGCGUCUGAUAGUUUGUAAGUGUCUUUUACUUUUUAAAUUUUAACAUAUAUAAUCAUGGUAAAUUAGUUAAAGGAAUGGUUCUUUCAUUUUUUUAAAAUAUCAGGGACUGCGGGGUCUUCGUGGCUGCAUAUGCAGAAAUAUUGAGUGAAGGGCAGCAAGUCCAUUCAUGUGAGUUUGAAGGUUGCAAGUCAACGUGCAUGAUAUGCUUCGUUACUAUGGCAUUACGGAGUGAUGAAGACAAAGAAAGGUUAUACGAGUGAUAUUGACGAUCCUCCUCGGCCAAAAAAUACUUUUGUCCAAUCACCUGAUGAAAGUGCAAUUGUUACUUUGGAGUAGCUCCUUCUAAAAAUAUUCUAAUUGCUUUUUUAGUUGUUUCUGCUAAAUAGUUAUACACAGUAAUAUUUUUUUGAAUGUUGAUUUUUACGCAACAUUAUAUGGGUGGCAGUUUUUGUUCUACUACAUUUACAUUUACAUAAACUCUAUUGUGCUUAUUCUAUAUUGUUUGUUAAUUAGUCACUUUGCCAAACAUAAUAUUACCAACACUGUAUAACAACAAUUUAUAUAUUAAUGAAUUAUAUAUAGGUAAAACAUUGUGUUUUUUUCCAGCAUUAAAGAAGUUAAUAUUAUAUUAUGAGUUAAUUAUACAUUGAACAAGUAUCAAUUUAUUUUUGAUAAAUUUAUUAUAUAACAUCAUACACGUUGACACUCUUUCAUUGCUGAAUUGAAAACAGCUAUGGCAUUCAAAAAAAUUUAAGAAGAAUAACAGCAGAUCGUAAAUUCUAAACAAACAAAAUGUAUUAGUCAUUUGACGUAAUACUGAUAAGAAAAUAAGAAAAAGUUUUAAUACCAUACAUACAUCUUAAUGUAUAAUCUAUACUCUUAACACAAAAUUCUUUGCUUUAUAUUUUGCUAGUUCUUAUGUUUUUUAAAAUCAUUUACUUUAAUAUCAUACAUGUUGUUAAUGUAUAAUAGUAUAGAAUACAUAAUAUAUAUAAGACAGGUUAAUGUUAAAUAUAUUAUACAUUAUAACUACAUAUUACUACGUUACAAUAAUGAGCAGUAAAGUCACAAAAUAUAAUAAUUCAAAACUGUAUUAUUUGGUUGCGAAAAUAUCAAACAUUAAGUAAUAAUUAAACAUCACAUAACAGUUAAAAACAUAAAAUAAACUUUAACAAGUAUCAACAAAAUAAAAAAAAAUGAUGUUCUGUAGUUAUAACCAAACGAACAAUUAGCAUUUAGAACAACAAAAUAAAAUCUGUAACUUUUUUUGGGGAAGAAACCUCACGUCCUAUGGUUGUGGCCUGCACGCCUGCAUUUACUGUAAUGAUUUGAACUUAUAAGUGAUUCACUAGAUUUCAAAUGCCUUCCUUUCUUUGGCCUCCUAGGAGGUCUUUUGUAUUUGGGUGGCAAAACUUCGUCGGCAUCAACAAAAUGUGAAACAAUCCAAUCUUUCAUCUCUGGCAUAGGAACUAUGGGGAGUUCAUAUGUCUUGACAAUGGUGUUUGGCCUGUACAAUUCUGAACAGUAACGUCCAUACUCUUUUAAAUCAAUAUUUAUACUCUUCAAAAUGCUAUUGCGUGUGCACAUGAAAUUUCAUCAAUUUGAUACCGACAACAGUUACACGUGUCAUGAUCAAUAUCAAUAAUGUACCUCCUUCCUGAUUCAUACACACAGUACAGAUAACUACCAGCAGCCUUAACCUGUUAACAAUGAUUAAUUUUAUACAGUAAAAAAUAUAUAAAUUAAUAACAAAUAUAAAGUAGAUUCAACUAUCAUAAUACAUACCAUCAUCCGUAAUGACUUAACUCCAUUAUCAGUUAGAAUUUCUUGAAAUCUUCUCCCAAACGUUGUGUUUGUAUAAGAUGCAAUUUCACUGUUCUUACAAUUCCAUGCAGCGAAUAGAAUCUUAACUUCUUCAAGGAAAUCUAAAAUAGGAAGUACUCUAGCCUCUACCAAACAACAGUUAAUACAUUCAACUAUAUUAGAGGUCAUCAUUCUACCUUUAUUAAUAGGAGAGUGACAUCGAGAUCAUUUAUCAUAUCCAGCUUUUUCCAGAUAUUCCUUAACCCUUGGAUCAACCUUUUCAACCUUUGACACAAUGUAAUCAAAAUUUUCUUUUCUAUACGCUUUAGCCAUGGAAUAAUAAAGGUCACUAAGUCUAUCUUUGCUUUUUCUAAAAUAUUUAUAAAUAUUUUUUCAUAAAUGUCAAAUACAUGCAAGAUGGGGGACAUUAGGAUAAACAAUGCUCUCGCCCUUUAUGAUACACUCAUUUCGAUCCGAUACAACACACAUAUUGUCCCGUUUUCCAAAUGCUUCUUUAAAUUGAUGAAAAAAUUAAGUCCACGCAUUGUCAUUUUUUGAAUUCACAACACCAUAAGCUAAUGGAAGAAUACAUCCUAAACAAAAACAAACAAACAAAUUUAUAUGUAUAGUUCUAUAAUAUGUGUACACCACUGAACAGGUUUCUAAUUAUUUUACAUUUAAGUAAUACAUGACAUCAUACAUGUUGUCCCACCUUUAUCACUUAAUUGAAAACAAGUACAAAUAUAUAACAUCACACAUUUUAAUAACGUAUAACAAUACAUCAUACAUUGUAAAAAUACUGCUAGGAAAUUAUACAUUUAAUUAUUAGUAAAUGUAUGAGACAUUAAACGUAAAAUUGACAAGAAAAUAUUGAUAUUUUACAACAUCAUACAUACACCAUAACGUAUAAUCGCUAAUCAUACACAUAUCACACAAAUCAAAAUCUACUUAAGUUUUACUUAUUCUGUUUUAAAAUGAAAAUGCAAUUUAUAGAGUUGUUUAAACAGAAAGUAGCAUCUACUUUAUAAAAAAAAUUAAUAACACAAAAUAAAAGGCAUAAAAUCAGCUACUUGGUGAAGUACUAUAUGUACUCACUAAGCAAGUCCAAAUUUUAUUAUACAUACAUGGGCAACAUACAAUCAGCUAUAAUUCAUGCACAAUGCUGAAAUAUCAAAGAUGAAAAUUUUAAAGUAUGAUACCUGCACCAUCAAGAGUGCUCGCUGAUACAAACGUUCCUUGAUAUGGCCCGAUUAAAUGAGCACCAUCUACAACUACUAUUGGAUGGCAAAAUUUGAACCUCCUAAUCAUUGGAUGUAAGGCAAUAAAUAAGUAUUUAAACUCGUUAUCUAAUGUCUUAUCCAUCCGAAUGUAUGAUCCAGGAUAUACCUGGUUCAACAUAUAUAUAUAACGGGGCAUUUUUCGAUAUCCAUCAGCUGGUCCACCUCUAAGAAUCGCAAUUGCCUUUUCCUUUGCCCGUCAAGCCAUCAUGUAGUUAAUAUCAACACCAUAGACGACCUUCAUCUCUUCAAUUAUGUCUGUCGGUGUAUGUAUUCUCUUGUAAUUAAUUAACUUUGGUGCAGUAAAUUCACUGACAAAGGCUGUUGUUGCAACCAAAUUAUUCAGUAUUCUAUCACUCAGACUGCAAUUAUGUUUCGAAUCAAAUAUCUUUAUCGCAAAAAUUUCCGAAUGAUUCAUCGAAUAUGCCUUUAGAACACAUUUGCAAUCUUUGACACGGCAGUGUAACACAUAGCUGCAGUUACAUUUUAAAACAUGUUGUCAAUUUAUUAACGUACAUAUAAAUUCAAUAAUUUAAGUCAAAAUACCAUAAUUAAAUUGUUAUAGUUUUAUUAUACAUUCGAAUGAAUGUAUAAUGGCAUAUUAUACAUUGUAAAUAAAACUCCAUUUUGUGCAAACAGCAAAACCAGAAAUUGAAGUCAACAAUGAAACUCCAUUACCAAAGGCUAUUACAACACAACAACAUCCUUCACAACAUCUACAAAUAAAAAAUGAUAAUUUAUUUCAUACCUUUGUUUGUCAGAUCAUUUAGUAAAGGUGUUGAAGCCAUUCGAUAUCGCAUAUUUCGCCAUAACCGAUACCAAAGUUUGCUUAUCCUUAUAACGCUGGUUAACUUUUAUUUCAGUGUUCUUCAAAUUCCAGAACGUAUAAUGAAUAUUGAUUCUGAGUUUCAACAACAGUUAAAGCAACUGAAUCAGAUUCACUACCUUCAAUACACAUUACAACCCCAGUUUUACUAUCAAACUCGAUAUCCUUAAUCGAUUUAUUGAAAGUUUGUAUACAUAGCGAAAAAUUUAUAAUUCCAGAACCUUGUUUCUUCAACUCAAUAUAAACCUUCACUCCAUUAUCAUUUCUUAUGAUAAUUGGAGAAGAAUUACCAUCAACGAUGUAUUUUACUUCAAUUUUUUUCGUACAUCGUCAAUACCCAAUUCCAUCAUGAUUUUCGCAAUCAAUUUCAAAAAGUUAAUACUUUCUGAAAUAACAAUGGCAUCACUUUUGUAUGCUUUAAAACUUAUUUCUGCCUCCCAUACACCAGAAUGACGCAAACAUAUUGGGAUGUUCAUCUUUUUUCUCACAAGAAAUCACGAACAAAAUUUUUUUUCUUCCGAAUCGUAAAUCAAAAAAGAAGUCAAUUAGAGGUAAAGUUUAAGAGUUUUUUUUUUAAAUUCAAAUAUCAGUUACUAUUUUAACUCAUACAAUAAUUAACAUCAGGUAAUUAAAUAGCGUAAUUUAAGAAGUAGGGAUACAUUUACUAAUUCUCAAUCUCAUAAUUUUAGGUUAAUCAGAUUUAUGAUACAUUCAACGAACGUAUAACUACCAUCCGAAUGUAUGACAAUAUUUUACAAAAUAAGGAGAGAGAAAAUUUCAAGGGAGAUUAUGUAAAUAGUUUUACUUUAUGCGAUAUAUAUAUAUAUAUAUAUAUAUCUAUCUAUAUAUAUAUAUAUAUAUAUAUAUAUAUAUAUGUGGUUUAUACCGUCUAGAAAUGGUGGUGCAAAUAUACUCUUCGAUAUAGUCAAAUGUUUAGACUUAAAUGACGUAUUCAAUGACUCUUUUAGUGUACUAUCAAGUUUAAAUAAGAGGCCAGGACAAUCUCGUCAAUUUUCUUUAAAACUCGAGAAAAGUCUUCCAGAAAAUGACCUAACAAUACAACAAAAAAAAUUCUUCUUUCCUUGCUCUAAUAGAGUUUACAUUAUAUAUACAUUGAUGGCAUAAAAUAUUCAUAUAUUAUCAAUUCAUCUUUAAAAUGUUUAUAAUUAUUUAACUGCAUUUAUUUUUAUUACGUCUAAAAUGAUGAAAAUUUUAAUGAUGUUUUCCAUAGAAUCAGUCAGAAAAUGUCCGACGAGCCAAACUUCAACGAAUUUUCGAUCGGACACUAAAAAAGAUUUUCAUAUGACAAUUUUGUUCCACAAUAGGAUGUUUCUUGGGCACCGGCCGAUAUUUGUUACAUAUAACAACUUAAUUAUCUGCACACUGAUCUUUUAUGGUUAUUUACAAAUUGUAUAAAGGAAAAUUAUCUGUUCGAAUUUCGUAUAUGUAAAAAUAAAGAUCUUUUGUAUAAAGAACUUACGACGAAAGAUAAGAUUAUAAAAGAGUGCAAAACCAAAUCUUUCUUAUAAUUUAUUGCUAAUCUUUGUCAAGAUUAACAAUUAUGAAUUAGCGAAGAAUCUUGUUAUUUAGCUAAUAAUUAAUCCGUCCAUCGUUGUUUUCUAGCACUGAUAUUCGAGUUUUAAUAUCGUCCAAUUUGUAAUUAUUCCCCCCGUCUUCUCUAUCGAUCGAUGAGAUGGCUGCAACUGAACAAUUGACACCAUUAAAAUUCAAUGAGACACCAAUACAUCUCAUAGGCUAAGUCCCUUUUAUGCUCCGAAGGACGAUCACUUUGUCUAUGACUACCUUUCUAUACUUCAAACCGUAUGCUAAUUGCUUCCUAUUACAUGGUAUGAGACUUGUAAGAGUGACUCCUGCACCUAACUCAACCAAAAGCUAGAUCAUGGGGGAGGGGAUUGUCCAAUUACAUAUAAGUAAAUCGUCAGUCCAUUCUCCAAUUUAUAAUGUGAAACUUUCACCACUCUUAACAAGAUUGAUUUAAUGCAAGUUAUGAUUUAUUUACAAAUUUGUUCAGGAAAUUCCUACAUAUUAGAACUUAUUCCAGAAAUAUUCCACAACAACAAUAAUAACAUAUAUACUCAGUAAAUUUUCAUAAGUGGGGUUUAGAAAGUACAGUGUAAGUUGAUCUUACUACUAUCUCAUGGAGGUAGAGAGAUUCUUUCUAAAGAACCCUUGGCUAAGUGUACCAACUCCAAGUUAAAAAAAAAAAAAAAGAAACAAACAGUAAAAAAUUUUAUGGAUUAAUAAGUAAAGCAACGCAAAGCCUACAAAAAAGGAAGAAUAACAACAAGAAGCUAGAUAAUAAGAAAAAAUAUUUAAUUAGGUAAAGACCAUAGAAUAGUUACUUUAAAAUAAGAGGAAAAUUGAACUUUAUAGAAACAUUUUUUGUUCAACACAAUAUCAUAUGUAUUGAGUAUCAUACAGAACAUUACAUGACCAUGACCAACCAUCCAUUGGAACACUAUUGAAUGGCUUUAUUCAUACAAGUAAAAGUUCUAAAGUAGCAAGAUUUUUAUGGUCUUUGCCACUUACAUAACAAAGCAUUACAUUAAUAAUACAUAAUGAAGCACUAAUUAAUUAGUUCUGAGGUUUAGAUCCAGUGUCUUUUUCCAUGGCCUUAUAUUCUUCAUAGGUGCAGCAAUGUCCAUGGCAUUUAUAAUGACAUUUUUUAGGUUUAUAUCCACCAUCAACUUCUACUUCCUGCUGUGAUUCAGUGGCUUUUUCCAUGGCCAUAUAUUCUUCAUAGGUGCAGCAAUGGCCAUGGCAUUUAUAAUGACAUUUUUUCUUAGGUUUAUAUCCACCAUCAACUUCUACUUCCUGCUGUGAUUCAGUGGCUUUUCCCAUGGCCAUAUAUUCUUCAUAGGUGCAGCAAUGGCCAUGGCAUUUAUAAUGACAUUUUUUCUUAGGUUUAUAUCCACCAUCAACUUCUACUUCCUCGUGUGAUUCACUGGCUUUUCCCAUGGCCAUAUAUUCUUCAUAGGUGCAGCAAUGUCCAUGGCAUUUAUAAUGACAUUUUUUCUUAGGUUUAUAUCCACCAUCAACUUCUACUUCCUCGUGUGAUUCACUGGCUUUUCCCAUGGCCAUAUAUUCUUCAUAGGUGCAGCAAUGGCCAUGGCAUUUAUAAUGACAUUUUUUUUUAGGUUUAUAUCCACCAUCAACUUCUACUUCCUGCUGUGAUUCAGUGGCUUUUUCCAUGGCCAUAUAUUCUUCAUAAGUGCAGCAAUGUCCAUGGCAUUUAUAAUGACAUCCUUUGUGUCCUCCACCUUUAUUAUAAUGGUCACCUCCAACACCAUCAACGUCUACUUCCUUCGCUGCUGCAUCGAUGAAUUGAGAAUAUUAAAACUUAUGCAUAUGCAUGUACUCACGACUGAUCUUUGAAUUGAAAUUUCAAUUUAUGUGUAGUACUUUUCAUUUCAUUUCGUUAUAGUUUAAGAUAAUUCCUCUUACUAUUAUAUAUAUUUAAAUAAAUUCUUAGUUUCAAUAUAAUAUGUUUAAAUAUUUUGAAUUGAAAUUUCAAUUUAUGUGUCGUACUUUUUAUUUUAUUUUGUUAUAGUUAAGAUAAUUCCUCUUACUAUGAUACAUAUUUAAAUAAAUUUUUAGUUUCAAUAUGAUAUGUUUAAAUCUACAAGAUUCAAAGGAUAUUUUAGUAUGUUCUAAACACAAUUUAGUUUUGUUUAGCAAGGAUUGAGAAGUUUAUGCUAUAUUCUUUAAAUUCAGGCAUAGUAACUGAGAAGCAUAAGGAAUAUAUAUUAAGUGUCAUGAUCAAGCUAGUGUUAGUAAAACAUUAGGUUAUCAUCUCACAUUUAUAAAAACUUACAAAUUUUAGUUUGUGGUCUAAUCUCAGAAACAACUUCUCUAUCUUGCAAAGAUUGGAGUAACAUCAACUUACAUAUUCUAUAUAUCUUCCGUAGUCUCUACUUAUGAGAUUACACUGAAGAUAUAGUGUGUGAUUUAAUUUUAAAUUUUCAUAAAAUUUUCAGAAUGCUCACAUUGAAUAUAAUUUUAAACAGUGGUUUAAAAGUUCUAUUAAGUAGCAUAAACAAUAAAAAGAUGACCAUUUACUAAAAGGAAAAGCCGAUUAAAAUAAGAUAUUAUCUUCAAUUAAAUGCUAGGAGUAGAACCUGUUAAAAUACUAAUAGCAUUUCACAUGCUGGACAUAUAUUUACUAUGUCACUAAAUUAAGAGCGAUAAAAAACGUGUAAAGUAAUGGAUAAAGAUAUGUUAAUAUGGCUAACGUAGUAACAUCAAUAGGUUUUUUUUUUUUUUUUUUUUUUUCCGAAUGAAUUCAAUUACGUAAAAAGAUAAUGAAAGAUAAUACUUAC
rnacentral:lncRNA from 1 species